AGUGAACGCUGGCGGUAGGCCUAACACAUGCAAGUCGAACGGCAGCACAGGAGAGCUUGCUCUCUGGGUGGCGAGUGGCGGACGGGUGAGGAAUACAUCGGAAUCUACCUUUUCGUGGGGGAUAACGUAGGGAAACUUACGCUAAUACCGCAUACGACCUACGGGUGAAAGUGGGGGACCGCAAGGCCUCACGCGAUUAGAUGAGCCGAUGUCCGAUUAGCUAGUUGGCGGGGUAAUGGCCCACCAAGGCGACGAUCGGUAGCUGGUCUGAGAGGAUGAUCAGCCACACUGGAACUGAGACACGGUCCAGACUCCUACGGAAGGCAGCAGUGGGGAAUAUUGGACAAUGGGCGCAAGCCUGAUCCAGCCAUACCGCGUGGGUGAAGAAGGCCUUCGGGUUGUAAAGCCCUUUUGUUGGGAAAGAAAUCCUGUCGAUUAAUACUCGGUGGGGAUGACGGUACCCAAAGAAUAAGCACCGGCUAACUUCGUGCCAGCCGCCGCAGUAAGAC
rnacentral:rRNA from 1 species